GGCCCCUGGGGUAUGUGCACUUCUUGACACCCAGGGCUCCACUGGGAGCUAACUGCACAUUUUCAAGGUUUUGUUCAUCCCAACCCUGAAGUGUUCCUGGGCCAGAUCCACAAAGGAUGACUCCUAACCAAGACCACACAGCAGACCCCGGUGGGAGGAGAUUCCCUUUGGCUCACCCAAUAGCUCUUCUAUCUAUGGGACACCCCAGGACAGGACAGUCUGCACCAGAUGGGCAUCCUCUGUGGAGGAAUAAAAUGUGGGUGGUUGCCUUUGAAAGUCAAGCCACAUGGCAGCCACGUUCCUCCACAUGCCACCUUUCUGCACCUUCCAUCGGUGUCUCAAAGUGUCUUUCCCAGAGGGGCCAGUGUCGCCGGAAUCCCACCCCAACGUGGCUGGGGAAAACCGUGGUUGAUUUUGCCAGGCCUAGCAACACUGUGUUCUGGCAGCACUGUGUACUUUGGAGAGGGGACCAGACUCAUUGUCUUAGAGGAUGUGUCCAACAUCACUGCCCCCAAAGUGGCCAUCUUUCCCCCAUCGAAACAGGAGAUCAAAGAGAAGAGGAAGGCCACCCUGGUGUGCCUGGUCACAGGUUUCUACCCUGACCACAUCAAGCUGGUUUGGCGGGUGAAUGGUGUUGAGAGGAAAGAAGGGGUGAGGACGGAUGAAUCUCUUAUGGACAAAAACAAAGAAAAAUACUCACUGACCAGCCGCCUGAGGCUCUCACUCCAGGAAUGGUCCAACCCCAAGAACGUAUUCCACUGCGGUGUUGAAUUCUGCGGGAAUAAGACACAAACAUAUGAUGAAGUCAUCAGUGGUGUAGCUGAUUGCAGUGUCUCAGAAGCAAGUGCAGUAGAAGAAGCUGGCCCAAGGUGGAUGACACAACUUCCUGGAGAAAGAAGGAGCUGCAGCUGCAUUCGUUUUACAAGUCCUGAUUUUUUUCAGAAACCAGCACAGCACUUAGGCUUUUGUUACAAUAAAUGUACAAAGAC